AAAAAAAGAAAGAAAGAAAAGACUACAUUUUCCAGUAACUGUAGCAAGUAGAGGCAUCCAUGGGACUCCUUUCUGGCCAGUAGGAUGGAGUGGAUAUCAUCAGUGUGACUUCCUUGAAGUGCCUUUAAAUGAAUGGGGCUUGCCCCUUCCUUUCUCCAUGUGACUAGACAGUGAAUGGAUCAGUUAGCUUUUACUGUGGAACAAACACUCCCCAAAUCGAGAAGCUUUUAUGAUUUCUGUGGUUAAGAAAUUUAGACUGGGCUCAGUUGAGCAGUUUUCUUGUCUUAGUUGGACCCCCUCAUGCACCUGUGGACCUGCUAAAUGAUUCUGGGAGGGGUGGCUGGUCAACUGGGAUAAUGGGAUUGGCCAAGCCAUAUAGUUCCUAUUGUCCUGCAGAGUGACUUUUUUUUUAAUGUGGCAUUUAUAUGGAGAGGUUUUGUUUUGUUUGAUUUUUAGGGGGUACUGGGGAUUAGACCCAGGGUCCUGUGCUGCUAGGCAAGUGCUCUACCACUGAGCCACAUCCCCAGCCCACGAGGAGGGUUUUAAGAGUGAGAAAAGCAGGAGAUAAAGCUUGGAACUUUGCACAGGUGACCAUCAUUCCUACUGGUCAAAACAAGUCACACGCCAGCCUAGACCAGGUGAGAGGUUCCACCUCUCAGUCGGAAAAUCCGCAAAGCGACAUUGCAAAAGGCCAUGGAUUCUGAGCGGCAUGCAGAACUGGGGCCAUUUUUUUUUUUUACAAUCUGCACAGCAACCACUGUGGCAAGCCACAUGGGAAGCUAUGUGUCCCCAAGGAGAGCCCAUGCCAGCCCUGGGAUGUUCACACCCGGGCUAUGAAGAGAGAGCUCAAAUUCCAGUUCCCUGGAGCCACUGUCACCUGGUGUCUGUGCUGCAGCAGCUGAAUGGACCUGUACCUGUUGGGCCACCAACCUCUGGAACUGGAUGAAGGGAGGUAAUCAGUUUUCGUAUUGCCAAAGCCACUUAGAGUCAGACUUGCUCUUAUUGGAAACCCAGAGCGGCCCUUGCUG
rnacentral:tRNA from 1 species